rnacentral:rRNA from 1 species
UACGAAGGGGGCUAGCGUUGCUCGGAGUCACUGGGCGUAAAGGGCGCGUAGGCGGCGUUUUAAGUCGGGGGUGAAAGCCUGUGGCUCAACCACAGAAUGGCCUUCGAUACUGGGACGCUUGAGUAUGGUAGAGGUUGGUGGAACUGCGAGUGUAGAGGUGAAAUUCGUAGAUAUUCGCAAGAACACCGGUGGCGAAGGCGGCCAACUGGACCAUUACUGACGCUGAGCGCGACAGCG